UAGACAACACUGUUUAUAUAUAUAUAUAUAAAUAUAUAUAUAUAUAUAUAUAUAUAUAUAUAUAUAUAUAUAUAUAAAUUUUAAUUGGGGUAGCCCCCAAAAUAUUGGAAAAUAUAAAAAAAGACAACUCUGUUCCGCAGAGUAGCUGUUGACAUUAUAGUUGCGCAGGAACUUUGUUGACUCUAGAGAAUCCAGUUUGGCAGUUUCUGCGCCUAAUAUGGUGACCACGGGUAACGGGGAAUCAGGGUUCCAUUCCAUACAGGGACCCUGAGAAACGACUACCACGUGCAAGGAAGGCAGCAGGCGCGCAAAUGACCCACUCCCGAUGCGGGAAGGUAGUGA